rnacentral:rRNA from 1 species
UGGGGAAUUUUGGACAAUGGGCGCAAGCCUGAUCCAGCCAUGCCGCGUGCGGGAAGAAGGCCUUCGGGUUGUAAACCGCUUUUGUCAGGGAAGAAAUCUUCUGAGUUAAUACCUCGGGAGGAUGACGGUACCUGAAGAAUAAGCACCGGCUAACUACGUGCCAGCAGCCGCGGUAAUACGUAGGGUGCAAGCGUUAAUCGGAAUUACUGGGCGUAAAGCGUGCGCAGGCGGUUUUGUAAGACAGAGGUGAAAUCCCCGGGCUCAACCUGGGAACUGCCUUUGUGACUGCAAGGCUUGAGUGCGGCAGAGGGGGAUGGAAUUCCGCGUGUAGCAGUGAAAUGCGUAGAUAUGCGGAGGAACACCGAUGGCGAAGGCAAUCCCCUGGGCCUGCACUGACGCUCAUGCACGAAAGCGUGGGGAGCAAACAGGAUUAGAUACCCCCGGUAGUCCACGCCCUAAACCGAUGUCAACUGGUUGUUGGGAAGGUUCCUUCUCAGUAACGUAGCUAACGCGUGAAGUUGACCGCCUGGGGAGUACGGCCGCAAGGUUGAAACUCAAAGGAAUUGA